AUACGUAGGUGGCAAGCGUUGUCCGGAAUUAUUGGGCGUAAAGCGCGCGCAGGUGGUUCCUUAAGUCUGAUGUGAAAGCCCCCGGCUCAACCGGGGAGGGUCAUUGGAAACUGGGGAACUUGAGUGCAGAAGAGGAUAGUGGAAUUCCAAGUGUAGCGGUGAAAUGCGUAGAGAUUUGGAGGAACACCAGUGGCGAAGGCGACUUUCUGGUCUGUAACUGACACUGAGGCGCGAAAGCGUGGGGAGCAAACAGGAUUAGAUGCCCUGGUAGUCCACGCUGUAAACGAUGAGUGCUAAGUGUUGGGGGGUUUCCGCCCCUCAGUGCUGCAGCUAACGCAUUAAGCACUCCGCCUGGGGAGUACGGUCGCAAGACUGAAACUCAAAUGAAUUGACGGGG
rnacentral:rRNA from 1 species